UACGUAGGGUGCAAGCGUUGUCCGGAAUUAUUGGGCGUAAAGAGCUCGUAGGCGGUCUGUCGCGUCGGAUGUGAAAACCCAGGGCUCAACCCUGGGCCUGCAUUCGAUACGGGCAGACUAGAGUUCGGUAGGGGAGACUGGAAUUCCUGGUGUAGCGGUGAAAUGCGCAGAUAUCAGGAAGAACACCCGUGGCUAAGGCGGUUCUCUAGUACGGUACUGACGCUGAGGUGCGAAAGCGUGGGGAGCAAACAGG
rnacentral:rRNA from 1 species